UACGAGGGGGGGCGAGCGUUGUUCGGAAUUAUUGGGCGUAAAGGGUGCGUAGGCGGUUCCGCAAGUCCUGUGUGAAAUCUUCGGGCUCAACUCGAAGUCUGCACGGGAAACUGCGGGGCUUGAGUGUGGGAGAGGUGAGUGGAAUUCCCGGUGUAGCGGUGAAAUGCGUAGAUAUCAGGAGGAACACCUGUGGUGUAGACGGCUUUCUGGACCAUAGCUGACGCUGAGACACGAAAGCGUGGGUAGCAAACAGG
rnacentral:rRNA from 1 species